rnacentral:rRNA from 1 species
GGACUACCCGGGUAUCUAAUCCUGUUUGCUCCCCACGCUUUCGUGCCUCAGCGUCAGAUAUGGACCAAGAAGCUGCCUUCGCCAUUGGUAUUCCUCUCGAGAUCUACGCAUUUUACCGCUACUCCGAGAAUUCUACUUCUCUCUUCCAUCCUCAAGCAUACCAGUUUCUACCGCCGACUUUCAGUUAAGCUGAAAAAUUUAACAAUUGACUUAGUACGCCGCCUACGCACCCUUUACACCCAAUCAUUCCGAAUAACGUUCGCACCCCUCGUCUUACCGCGGCGGCUGGCAC